rnacentral:rRNA from 1 species
GAUGCCAUAUCACCUUGAGAAUGCCUGAUUUAGUCUGAUCUCAGAAGCUAAACAGGGCUGGGCCUGGUUGGAUGGGAGACCACUGGGAGUACUGGCUACUUGCUUCU